rnacentral:rRNA from 1 species
UACGUAGGGUGCAAGCGUUAAUCGGAAUUACUGGGCGUAAAGCGUGCGCAGGCGGUUAUGUAAGACAGGUGUGAAAUCCCCGGGCUUAACCUGGGGAACUGCAUUUGUGACUGCAUAGCUAGAGUACGGCAGAGGGGGAUGGAAUUCCGCGUGUAGCAGUGAAAUGCGUAGAUAUGCGGAGGGAACACCGAUGGCGAAGGCAAUCCCCUGGGCCUGUACUG